UGGAAAGUGGAAGCGAAGGAUGAGGGCCUUCCUGCUGCCCCUUGGUCAUACUCACCAGUGAUAAGAUUGUCCACAAGGGUUGUAGGCAUGCAGAAGAUGCCCACCAGCAGGUCGCUGACGGCCAGGUUGAGGAUAAACAUGUUGGUGACAGUGCGCAUGUGCCGGUUCUUGAGCACGAUGAAGCAGACCAGAGCGUUGCCCACCAUGCAGAGGAGGAAGAUGAGCGCAUAGGCCGCGAUGAACAUGGCCGCCACUGGAGAGGAGUGCUGGUAGUAGGAGGAGAAGGCCAGAAGAGGGCAGCAGAUCCCCUGGAACAAGAGCUGACAGGGAACUCUGGCUGGCCUGGAACUACCUGCCUGCCUCCUGAAUACUGGAUUGGAAGUGGUACCCCAUCAUGGCUUGCUUGCCACUAGGAAGCACAGAGGACCACAGUGAUGGAUGCUUCG